rnacentral:rRNA from 1 species
GACGAACGCUGGCGGCGUGCUUAACACAUGCAAGUCGAACGGAAAGGCCCUGCUUUUGUGGGGUGCUCGAGUGGCGAACGGGUGAGUAACACGUGAGUAACCUGCCCUUGACUUUGGGAUAACUUCAGGAAACUGGGGCUAAUACCGGAUAGGAGCUCCUGCUGCAUGGUGGGGGUUGGAAAGUUUCGGCGGUUGGGGAUGGACUCGCGGCUUAUCAGCUUGUUGGUGGGGUAGUGGCUUACCAAGGCUUUGACGGGUAGCCGGCCUGAGAGGGUGACCGGCCACAUUGGGACUGAGAUACGGCCCAGACUCCUACGGGAGGCAGCAGUGGGGAAUAUUGCACAAUGGGCGGAAGCCUGAGGCAGCAACGCCGCGUGCGGGAGGACGGCCUUCGGGUUGUAAACCGCUUUCGCCUGUGACGAAGCGUGAGUGACGGUAAUGGGGAAAGAAGCACCGGCUAACUACGU